rnacentral:rRNA from 1 species
AUGCGCACGGCUAUAUACCCCGGGAAAUUUCCGGGAGCACGCGUACCAAGCGAAGACCCGAGAGUCAUCGUGCUAGCUCUCCGAAGUUUCCGGGAAAUUUGGCCACACCAGGCUGUGUAUCGACCUAGAUAUAAACCAACCGAUGAACAAGUAAUUUACACCCUGCUAAGCACUACCAGUGAGUUCUUAGCCUCGCGCAUGGGCAUGGAGUUGCCGGCGACAAGGCGCUUGCUCGUGUUCCUCUCUUUGCUCACGCUUUGGAGCAUCACCGUCGACGGUGCGUCGCCAGCUGCCGCCGCCAGCGCGGUGGCGCGGGAGGCGACGGCGCCUGCGCCGGUGCGGUUCGGCGUGGGGAGCAGGAGCCUGACCUGCAAUUCCGUGGAGAUCCUGGAUGCGUUCUACCUGAAGCAACCAAGCUGCGCCAACUGGGCGGACCUGCGAGCGAAGGAUUCCCGCGGAGAGGCCGUCGCCGCAGCACACGCUGCCGAGGACCUGAUCAAGAAUGCCCAGGUGCAAGCCAUCAUAUGGGGCCUUCAGACACUGAACAAUGCAGAUCACAUCCCACACCUGGCCGACCACAACAACAUUCCGGCUCUCUCCUUCUACCGCAGUGAUGCCUUCUGGCAAGAAGAUCCUGUAAACGAUUCCGCGGGCCUUACACUUGGAUCAAAUGACACCAUGAUGUUUCUUCAUCUAAGAACCGAGAAAAUAGACGGCAUGAAACUGGAUACGAGAAAUUCAAGACAAGAUCAUGAAGGUCAGACGAUGCUGAAAGAUUUUGCGAAUGUUAUUUAUCCUAUUUUCGAGAAACAAAACAUCAGCUGCUUGUACGGUACUGUCGAAGAUACGGCGAGGCCAGUUUCUAGUCCGCUCUAUAACCGUCUCCGAGAUCCUCACCCAUCCUAUCGGAAACGACGAGCCUCUUCCACGACGUUGCUUAGUGGUGAGCACUAUGAUGAGCUUGUAUGCAGCGUGUCUCCCAGGAUGAAUUUGGGAGUGGGCGGUGUGCCAUACGCACAGUCUGGUGCGUCUAUGAUUGUGCUCGUCAAGGAUGAACCAUAUACAAUCAGCUGGACAUUUGUAAAGCCACUAAGUAGGAAUCUUUGGUUUGCAACCAUUAUCUUUUUCUUCUAUACUGGCAUUGUUGUGUGGAUGAUUGAACUACCGAGAAAUCCGGAGUACCAAGGAUCAAGUUUGAGACAAUGUAGCACUGCCCUCUACUUUGUUUUCUCUACUUUGACGUUUUCUCAUGGUCAAAUUAUUAGAAGCCCCUUGUCAAAAAUUGUCGUGGUAAUAUGGUGCUUUGUAGUGCUGAUUCUGAUACAGAGCUACACAUCAAGCUUGUCAUCCAUAUUAACCACAGAGAGGCUCCGUCCUUGGGUGAUUGAUCUAGACCAGCUCCAAGGCAGUGGGGAUUUUUUAGGAUACCAAGAUGAUUCAUGUGUGCGGUCCUUCUUGAUGAAUUAUCAAAAUAUCAGUGAAAGUAGGUUAAAAACCUACACAACGAAGGAGGAAUAUGCUGCCGCUUUGAGGAAGGGGUCCAAGAAUGGAGGGGUGCCGGCUAUCGUCGGUGCGAUCCCCUAUUUAACAUCUUUCCUCUCUGAUAGUCGGUACAAAGAUGAUUUUAUGAUGCUUGGUUGCAUAUACACGACUCCUGGAUCUGGUUUUACAUUUCGUCUAGGGUUUCCGCUAGUGCAAAACCAUUCAACUACCAUCCUGAACCUAUCAGAAGGGGUUAGCGACUCACAACUAAAAGUGAGCUGUUUUGGCACCACUUCAGUGUUGAUGGGUGAUGACACAGUUCCUGACUUUGGUUCUGCACCUCUCACUUUGCAAAACUUCUCGGGGCUCUUCAUCAUCACUGGAUCCAUUUCAACUGUCAUGAUACUGAUAGCCAUUGUGAGGUUGGUUUAUGCCAAAUGCACCAGGCCGAGAAACACCGACAUGGAAAGCGCCACGGAUAAUAGUGUCGAAGAGGAUCCCCGUUCGAUGCAGAACGGCUUGGACGACAACCCUAGCCCUAGCCAGCAACUCCUCCACGAAGCCGGAGAAGAUAAUUUCCAAGGUGUGCGUGAGGGUAGCCAAAAUGAUGGGGGUGCACUGGUGGAAAAAGGGCCUUUGGUCGCGGUUCGCAACUGCCAUUAG